rnacentral:rRNA from 1 species
UAAUACAUGCAAGUCGAGCGGACAGAAGGGAGCUUACUCCCGGAUGUUAGCGGCGGACGGGUGAGUAACACGUGGGUAACCUGCCUGUAAGACUGGGAUAACUCCGGGAAACCGGAGCUAAUACCGGAUAGUUCCUUGAACCGCAUGGUUCAAGGAUGAAAGACGGUUUCGGCUGUCACUUACAGAUGGACCCGCGGCGCAUUAGCUAGUUGGUGAGGUAACGGCUCACCAAGGCGACGAUGCGUAGCCGACCUGAGAGGGUGAUCGGCCACACUGGGACUGAGACACGGCCCAGACUCCUACGGGAGGCAGCAGUAGGGAAUCUUCCGCAAUGGACGAAAGUCUGACGGAGCAACGCCGCGUGAGUGAUGAAGGUUUUCGGAUCGUAAAGCUCUGUUGUUAGGGAAGAACAAGUGCAAGAGUAACUGCUUGCACCUUGACGGUACCUAACCAGAAAGCCACGGCUAACUACGUGCCAGCAGCCGCGGUAAUAC